rnacentral:snoRNA from 1 species
UUGUGAAUGCUGUCUAUCUUAUAAAUUUCUACAUCUUGAAAAACUAAAUAUAGGGGAACCAGGUUUGCUAAAGUAAUUGUGGGGCUAGCACUAUGUGAGCCUCAGAAGCUGCUGAGGUGGCCCGGGCUACCCCAGGACAGUG